AUGUCCUUCAGCAGCUGAAUGCACAACCAAAUCAGAGUACAUCCAUAUAGUGCAGUAUAUUCAGCAAUAUCCAGUGGAGAGGAAUGAACUGUCAACCUUGCAAAGACAUAAAUAAGUCCUGCUUGCAUACUGCUGAGUGAGGAGUACCUUUUGGAAUGAUCCCAUUAAGAAGACAUGCAAUGAGAGCAGUAGGGACUUGGGACAGGGGCUGGGGUUGUGGCUCAGUGGCAGAGAGCUUGCCUAGAACAUGUGAGGCACUGGGUUCGAUCCUCAGCACCACAUAAAAUAAAAGAAAGAAAGGUAUUGUGUACAUCUAUAACUAAUUUUUUUUUUUUAAUUUUAGGGACAGAGAAUUGGGGCAUCCAUUAGAAAAUUGCUUUUAGCCUGAACUUGUUGUUUUAAAUAAAAUUGAGUCACUGUUUUUAGCCUUUUAUGAAUCCACCAAAAUGUGAUAUUUAGCAGAUUAGAUGUCUUAAUUUUGCCCAGAAACAGAUCAUAAAACGCUUUGUCCAAAGCCUACUACAGUCUAAGUUCUGUAUGUGAUAUCAAGCUUCCAAGAUCUACUCAUGGCAGUCACUGCGUAAAGUAUUCUGUGGUGUAAUUACUCACAG